CAUAAAUGGGUUUUUUUAAAAGGAAGAAUAUUUUCAGCAUUUAGACCAAUCACAGCCAUUUUCAUCAUCUUUUUUUUUUUUCAUCAGCAAGCAGAACUUUCACUUUCAUUACCAAGGAAAAAGCAACCUACAAGGAGCUAAAACUGCAGUCACACAAACAAAGAGAUCAGACACCCGACAGCAGUGCACUAACACAGGAUGAUGAAGAUACCAGGAAAAGUCACAAGUUGCUGCCUUGCUCUGCUCCUUGCCAUGACCUCUGUGUCAGCUGUACAAAGGCUCAAUUCAAUCAAUGAUUUAAAGAAAAUCGACUUUGGCCGAUCUGUGCCACGGCACAGUCUUCUGCUGCUCUACUGGUUUGCGAGUGUUGUUGAUAUAGACAGAAACUAUGUUAUACGAUUGACCUUUGAUCCAAACAGUGAAGAUUAUGGCUCCCAUCAUUAUGGCAACUUUGAGAACCUGCUGGAACGACUGCCUCCUGGUCACCAAUACUACACUGUGGGCAAUCUCAAACAAGGCACAACUGACAGACCACAGCUUCCACAUUAUGUUGCCAAUCCUGACGCAGAGAAUGAUGGAGGAAACAGGGACCGGAUCAUAAUAAGUGUCGAACAGCAUAACUCUGGAUGGCACACUGAGCAGAUAAUUCAUCGAGUGUACAUCACGCAGCAUUAUGGGGGUUCUCCAAGUGCGGAAUAUGAUCGACAAAACACCUAUGAGAUCUCUAGCAACCUCUUACGACAGAUCAGACAGUUUUCCGAGGGUACAAACCUGAGGGAUCUCACUAAUCGCUUUGGAAGUAACAUUAAUGAUUUUCAGUUAAGUGACAUCAGAAACACAUGGGGUCAAACGCUUGCUGGUCUUGGACUGCUUUUGUAUAUUGUGAUCGGGGGAGGAAGUGUAUACUAUACCAACCAACAAAACAGCACACUUCAGAGUGGAAGAUACACACAACCCUAUGUCUAUAACAACAUCUCAGAAAAUAAUUCAUUUUCUGAAUGCUGCACUAUUGUUUUGGGUCUGUUAUUUAUUGUAGUUUUUCUGUUACUGAUGGCUGCCUUCAAUGCUCCCAAGUAACAGAAGAUACAAUGAAACAAGGGAAAACCUGUUGUAUAAACCAAUUAUGUGUAGAAAUGACAUUGAGGACUGGAAAGCCAGGGGGACUAUCAAUAUGAAUGGGAAAUUAGCUGAUUAGAAACCUGAGCAGCAAAAGGCUGUUCCACUACCCUAUUACUGUAUAUGCUUUGUUUAGCCAGGAUGUUCAAUUAAUUGUGAUUUAUAUUUGCUAUUCUGUAAAACACCUUAUGAGCUUCAUAGCUUUAAUUCAUUAAACUAUUUUCUAAAAUGGCUCAUUGACUGCAAUGCACUACUUUAGCAUGGUCACAAUGUUCGAGCCUUUGUUCAGGCAACAAUUUCAUGCUCCAGCUAAUCUAAUAGUAGUGAUUCACAGCUGCCUAAUCUUGAUUCUGAUAGAGAUGAAGGACCUUGCUCUGAUGGAUAAAUGAAACUGACGAGGGAAAUUAUGUGUUACACUGAUCAUAUAAAAAAAAAAUAUAUAUAUAAAAAAAAUCAUAAUAAAAACAUAAAUAAAAAAAAUAAAGAUCAUAUUAUGAGAAAUUAAAAAAGUGGGGGGGUAUUUUAUAAAACUGUUUUGUAUUCUUUCUGCACUGAAGUGAAAUGCAUAUUGGUGUUCAUUUGCUUUUUUGUGUUUGUUUGGUCAGAAAAUAAAAGUGUAAAAGCUGA